rnacentral:lncRNA from 1 species
AUAUUAGUAACAUGGUCUCUUCAUUUAAAGAAAAAUCAUCCAUCAACAAAGCUCCCACCCCAUCUAUCUGAAAGGGGUGCUGUAUAUUCAGUUGCGCAAAGGUGGAAAUCACUCACAAAAAGACGGGGGCCAUCACCAAUGUAAUGGUUGCAAGCAUUUUGAUAAGAACGUGGAGUGAAGGCCCUGCAGUGUCUUUGAAUGGAUCACCAACUCUGCAAGUUGAAGAAGCUAAUGUCAGUGCUUAACCAGCAAGAGUGCUUGUGGUGUUUCCAAACAGGUUCUAGUAUCUUGUUUGUCAAUACAUGGGACAAAAAUUAAAAAAAAAAAAAUACAAAAUCAAAAAAUCAAAAGGACUACCCAAAAAAUAAUGCACGCUGGAACAAAAUGCACAAUGCAACUUGCUGCAAACUAAAAAAAGGGGGGGAAGAAUGCAUAUGGAGCUUCGUCACUGGUCACGCAUGCACCCAUAAACAUAUAUUAAUGAUAACAAAAAGAGAUAAAGGAGCUUGGAAUUUGAGUCUCUCACUUUUGUUCAUUAUUUUUCCAAUUAACUGGCAAUUAGCUUAGUUCAACUAAAAUAGUAAUAUGGUAUUAGAGGAAUACCAAUGCCUCUUAAGACAUCCUUAAAAAACUAUACUCCAGACUUUGAAAAUUUUCUUAGAAAAUUUUAUCCAAUUGGUGCACCUGGGUCUAACCAUCUCACACAGACACACAUGGGCAUGAAUGUGUCCAACCCAUGUUCAUUCAAUUUUUUCCUACACUCUUUGUUAUCGUUAUCCUUGCACUGUGUAGAGCUAAUAACAUGUCAUGCAACCAUCAUGUCAUAAAUAGCACACCAUGCAACUAUAUAUUUUAUGCAUAUCCCAUAUAUUACAUAAAACACACUAUAUUUUGUAAGUAUAUGCACAUAUUAAAGUAUUAUAUAAAAAUUAAUUACACUAAAUUAUGAAAUAUAAUAAAGUAUAUCAGGAGAUUUGUGGGAAUACAUAUGCAUCGGACAUGCACACAUAAACACCUCUCAAAUUCAAUCCAACCAGCCUGAAUAGGAUAUUUGAUGUUCUGCCGGCCUAUUCUUUAUCCCAUCCUACUGACUCUUCCCUCUGGUAUCUGUCUUCUACCUGCAAUUAACAUGAACCGCAUGUGCCCAUAGACAAGAACUACACUCUACCUCUGGUAUGCAAGCACAUAUAACUACCAAUUUUUUAUUCUUCUUCAUCAAAAUCAUCCAAAUAGCUCCUUUACAUCACCUCACUAAAAAAAUUUAUGUACAUGCCCUAACAAUAUCUUGCAUCCAUCUAUUCAGCAUAGAAAGUUCAUUAGGAUUGCAUACGAAAGGACAUACAGGGGUGCUUUGAUGCCUAGCUAUGUAAUUGAUGGGCAAUCACACCACCACAUAUGGGGAGCACAUGCACUUGGAAUGAUGUGAUAGAGGCGUUGCACAAACAAGUCUAAACUUGGGAAUAAUCUCAUGAAAACAGUGACACAACAAGUAAACUACAUGCAAUCAAUCACGUAUAGUUUAUGUGACAACAAAGCUGAAGAUGCAGAAAAAUAAGUACACAAGGCAAAUCAAGUUUGGGAAACAUACGUAUCACCAGUAACCGCUGCCUUGUGACAAUCACUGCCUUUCCCUCCAAGUGCACCAGUCUCUAUAUACUUUUUGGCAUUAUCCCAGGCACCACCAGCAGUGUUCAGAAAGAGAGCCAUAAGGAUACCAGCGACUGUCGCAAACAUAAGCAUCGAGGCCACAACUUUUGCCCCAAGGAGUGAUUGGCCGGUAAAGUGUCCCAAUAUCCGGAAGAGGAGUCCUGUCAACCAGAGAAUUAAAUCUCUAGAACCUCACCCAUGCAAAAGCCCUCUUCAUUCUCCCUCCAGUAUAUUAAUAAUAACAAAAGGAUUAUAUACUUUAUGAAAUAGAAAUAAAAUAAAUUUGUCUGCUUGAGUGUGCUGUCCUGUAUUCCCUCAAAAAAAAAAAAGGUGUUCUGCAUGUGGGAAUGGGCCGGGUGAAUUUCUUCUUGCACGCAUGUGUGCAUGCGCAUGUGUGUGCAUUAAGGGCUUUAUAAAGAAAAUCAAGAAUUAAACAGUACUCACCAAUCACUAUAGGUGAUAUAAUAGCCAGAGCACCAGGCUUUAUCAUUUCCCGCAAGGAUGCUGAAGCCACAAUGGCAACACAACGGCCAUAAUCUGGUUUUUCUUUAUAGUCCUGGACAGGCAUGUCAUAUCAAUGCCAGCAACACUCAUUUAAGGAUCAUAACAGUUACCUGGCAUGGCAUAAUUGGAUACUCACCAUUAUACCUGGCCUCUCAAUAAACUGGCGUCUAACUUCAUUAACAACCUCCUGAGCAGUUUUGCCAACAGCUGAACAGGCCCAUGCACUAAAAACAAAUAUAAGCAUAGAACCCAAUAAACCGCCAACAAAAACCUCUGGGACUGCUAUGUCAACCUGCAUAUCCAGAAAUUCAAAAAAUUUAAAGACAUUAAACUUUUAUUAAAAAUAAUGAUAAUAAGACAUAAGUGCAUGGCAGUUAUAUACCUGCUUAAAAGGAACGUGAGCAAAUGAAGCUACUUCAUCCAUAUAUGCACUGAAAAGAAGGAAGGAAGCAAGUGCUGCAGACCCAAUAGCAAAUCCUUUCGUGGUAGCUUUUGUAGUGUUACCAACAGCAUCAAGAACAUCAGUGAUUUCUCGAAUGCUUUCUGGCUGCAUACAAUUUAAUUGCUCAAGAAUUAGGACAAAAAUGAUAAUCACAAACAAUGUCCCAAAAUUAUAUAAGCAAAUACGCAUUCCUUAUCAAAUGUUCUGAUUAUUUAUCCUAAUUGCCAAGACCUAAGCCAGACCAGUAAGGAUUUCAUAUAUAAAUUUUUUAAGCACAAAUAAAGAACUUUUUUUGUGGGAGAGAGAUAUGAGAAAGCCCCAUCAAUCCAUUUCAUCGAUAGAAAGAAAUGAAAUUACAAUUACAUCCUACGUUAGUUCUGAAAAAAGGAAAGGUCCUCAGCAGAUUUCAAUGAAAUACAAGAGGACCACUUGUUCCAAGUGACGACAAACCCCCUAUGAAUAUCUUCAUAACGUCUUUUAGUGCCUUGAAAGAAAGUUGCAUUCCAUUCAAGCACAAACAAAGAACUAUAUUUAUAUAGUAAGAAGCUGGUGAAAGUGGUGCUUUCUUCAAACGGAGAACAGUGCAACACCUAGUGCAUCAUAUUGAAAAAGUAGCACCUGAAUUCUAUGGUAAUUAGAUAAGAAUUUUCAAAACAAUUUCAUGCGCUCAUUAAUCAUGGUACCUGCUGGCUCAUCUCUACAAUUCCACCUGCAUUGUCGGCUAUAGGGCCAAACAUAUCCAUCGUGAGGACAUAUGCAGCAGUACUAAGCAUGCCCAUUGUUGCUACAGCUGUUCCAAACAGACCACCAGUUGGAUUCCCAGUUUCAUCCACCAAGCCUGAUGUAUGCCCCAGCCAGAAAGCCGCAAUAAUUGCUAUGCUUAUCACAAGAACAGGGAGAGCUGUUGAUUCUAGUCCCAAACUCACUCCUGCAAUAAUAUUAGUUCCAUGCCCUGUGGCACUUGAGAGAGCUAAUACACGGACAGGCUCAUGCUUGUAAUCAGUGUAAUACUUCGUUAUCCAAACGAAAACAUAUGCCGUUAUGAUUCCAACCAAGCCACAUAAUGCAAAAUUGAGCCAUGCAGAAGGUGCUUGUUCAGUGUAAAGGAGCCACCGGGUAGACUGCCAAAGAUGCAAUGGCAAAAGGAAAACAAAGAAAAUAUCAGAAUAAUAUAAAAAUUGUAAAAAGUACCAGGACAUCAGUCAUUUAAUUAAAUGAAUCCAGAUGAUGAAUCAUCAUCUAAAUGAAACAAGUGAAAGAAAAGAUCAUACAUGCUCUAGACAAUGCCCUAAUGGUCAUUCCCACUUCUCCUUGAAGGAGAUAAGGAAGUACCUACUUUGAGACUUGGGUGGUAAAUCCCAAGGUAGUUGGACCUGGGCAAUUUACUUUGGUGGUCGCCACCCCCCCCCCCCCCCAAAAAAAAAGAAAAAAAAAAUGAAACUAAAAUGCGAAUUAAGAUUUGUAUUUAUAAACAAUAUUAACCUACCAAACCAAAAGUUAAAACAGCAAAAAAUAUUGUCACAGAGUAGCCUUUCUGAAGUAUCAUCAUUGGGUCCUCUACAGGAACAAUGAGUCCAGAUUCACGGGUGCCUCUAAUUGAGAGUAUUCCAAGUGAUGAUACCACCAAGUCAAAAGAAUGGACAACAAGAGGAAACAGGAUAAAUCCAGAUGGAUCUGCAAAGAAAAUUAAUUAGUUAGUCAUCAGAUAAUAAUAGUAAAAACAAAGAAACUGUGUUCAGACUUAUUAAUAGAACAUAUAAACAGAAAAUUUACUCGGCAGUCUGGAAGCCAAAUACAGUAAAUUUUUGCAUCCAAAAGUGCUGAACAAAAUUAUACAAGUACGUGCAUAUGUAUGUAUGUAUGUAUCUAUGUAUGUAUAUAAAAUACAUAAUACUGAAUUAAGCAGUUUCCCCAGAAAAAAGACAUCAGAAAUGUUCAGAUAUUCACUGGGAACUCAUGGAACAUUAUAUUAAAUGUUGAUGGGGACAGAUGUACAGAAAUGUUAGGCAAAUAACAGUUCUUUGAGAGUUUUCACAACAUUGUUAUUUAUUGUUUAUCCUUCUCCAGUAUCUGCCAUAUGUCAAAGAAUGUUGCUAAAGAUUUUGCAGUUCUUCUUGUGCUGUUUCACGUGCCCAUUUUCAACCUGUCAUUUAUGUUAUUAGUUCAGAAAUCCCAUGCAAAGGAAUUGGUGAAAGUGAAUCAGCAUUCAUAAGCUAAAAUAGUGAUGGAAUGAGGGCAUUGCCAAUAGUGAAAGAAAUAAGCAUAAAUAGGACUGCAAAUGAAACAAGCUGAUAUAAACAACUUGGUCUCAGCUUUGAUUAGGCUCAAUUGAGCUUGUUUGAUUAGGAAAUGAGCCAAAAUAAAACUUUAUUUAAGGCUCAACUCAGACAAGCUAAGUCCAUACACUCUGGGCUCACAGAAAUAAACAGAAUAAUGUGCUCAUUAGCUGAUUAAUAGGUUUGUUAGUUAAGAAUCUAACAAAAAUUGAACAUUUCUAGUCCUCUGAGCUCCGCUUGGCUUGAUUCAUUCACAAUGUUCUUUUUUUUUUUUAUUGUAAUUGAUCCAUUCACAAUGUCAAAGGAGUAUAAAUACUUAAAUAGCAGACAGUCCCUAAUGAUAAAAGUUUCCUAGCAAAGUUGGUAUAUAUUUUGUUAAGAUGUUCACGAGCUUUAUAGCAGCAGGCGACGUUCUUCAUAGUGUGCCAACUGCCAAGGCAGUGAGCAUGGAAAAGUCAGCAAUGCAAGAAAUGCCUAAAAAUGUAUUCUGAUAAAGCUUAAUAGAUGUAAGCCAAGGAAAUGAAAAUGAAGAGUUGUAGAACAAAAUCGGCUAAGUGCCAAAUAGUUACUGAACCAACCAAGUGAAUAUGUGUACAUAAACCCUCUAAAAUUAAAAAAGCCUUAAUUGCUAAAAAUGAUGGAAUUCACUUCACGAAAGAUCUCAAGCAAAAUUACAAAUACAUUUCCCACAUGGCAUAAGCAAUCUGUAGUGCCAGCAAGAGAUGCCAAACAGAAACAUUAUCGUAACCAACAAAUUCAGCCAAACUUCUAGUGUGACAUCAUGGAAACCUUUUGCCAUUCACUCCUAUUGGGGGAAGACAGGAUCCCAGCUCAAGAGUAUUCCUGAAAACCUAACAACCACCAACAAAUCCCUAAACCCAACAAACAGCAACAAAUUGGCAUAAAAAUACACAUUCACCCAAUCAAAAGAAAAUAAAUGUCAAUAUAUACCAAAACAGAGACCCUUCAAGACAGUAAUGACCAAUGAAGAUGUAGAACAUUUGGAAUUAUGUUUCACACUCAGCACAAAAUCGAUGCUAAAAGCUGAAGGAUGAUUGUAGUGUCAAAUUUGCUCUCUCUCUCUCUCUCUCUCUUGUCAAGAUUCUUGCAAUUAAAUGGAAUCCUACUGUUAUCUAACUGUAUGGACUUAAAUAUGUAGAGAAUAUAAUUGGUCUUCUACCCACCAAGUAGCAUUGGAGUUUAAUAUAGGACCCUCUUUGCCCAAAGGUUCCUUUGCUAGGAAUUUGGCACCAAUGUGCAGGAAGAUGACAUCUUGUUGAGAUUUGCUAAUGGAACAGUCAUAUUUGAUGGAUAAGAUAUUGAUAGAUAGAGAGCCAGGCUGGACUUGAGCUUUGUCUUCCCAGGCACAGUCUGAACUAGAGCACCGCAGGCCUAAAGCCCAAGUUCGGAGUUGGAAUUAGACCAAACCAAGUCCAGAUCUUUUGAUCCAAAUUCAGGCCCAGACUAGCCAGAAUACCUUAAGUGCCCAAAAGUUUCUUCUUCAAAUUGCAACUCAGCUCGUGAUAAAGGAAAAAGGGACUAAUAUAAUAGGCAUAGACCAGCCAAAGAAGUCAAUUACAUGGCACCAUUUGCUCAACAAAAGAGGGAAAUGUGUUGAGCAGGUGAUCAAGGUAUUUUUUGUGGGAUGACAUGUUUCAAUUAUUUAAAUUUGACCUGUGAUUUUUACAUAAAAUCCAGUGGCUUUAAGUCAGCUAGCUAUAUCAUAACCAUUGAGCGCCUCACUCACUCCAAGGCCUGGGUGGUACUGGCUCGAAUUUAUGUUCAGGCCUGGCUAUCCAAGCCUGGGCUCAGCUCUUGCGCCUAAUUCCCAAGCCUAAGCCUGAGAAAUUUUAAAUUGGGUCCCAGGACCAAUUGGGAUGGUCUUACCCAUGGACAAUGUUACUUGUUAGUUAAGAUUCAGGAAAGUGAUAGGGAAUAAAGAUUGGAGUGUUCCGCCACCAUCCCCUUCCUUUUAAAAAAAAAACGAAAAGAAAAAAAGAUGGAAGAAAUAGAAAAAUAGCACCAAAGUUAGUGCAAAACACACAUAACAGGCUACAGAAAGUAUCAUUUGUUGAUUUAGAGGAUGCAGAAUGUAAACGAUGAUCAAUUAAGUUGAUUUAGUUCAAUAGACAAUUGAGCCUAUAUGGCUCCCUAAAGAUAUGUUUGAUAGCAUAGAGGCCAUAAGAGGAUGAAGAACAAGGUAAACUGAACCAAUUACAGCAUUCCAAAUGAAUUUAUAUGGAUGAAUGAGAUGGAGAGCAUUUCAACCAAAAUGGCAGAGAUGUCCAAUACCUACCUGAUGUUGCAUAAUUACAAUCUAAAGCUCUUCCAGGAGGUACCAAAACAUCUAUGAUUCCAUGCUACUUGAUGAACGGCUCUUAAGUUGAUGCAGAUAUGAUUGUCAUUCAGGAUGAGAUCAAUGAUUAGAGACUAACAUAUGCACAUGAUACAAUGAGAUGUGGUUACUGCACAUCUAAGCACAUAAGAAUUGCAGAGGAUACAAUACAUAUCAUUUAUACAUACUACAUAGUGAUAGCAUACAAACACUUGAAAGUGUAGUGGUACCAAUGAGUUGGAAGAAAAAGGCAAUCAUGGUAUAACUGCCAUUUUAACAAUUCAUGCAAUAGAAUACUGACUCAAAUGCAUGGCUAUAUUUUAGAAAAGUUUAUCAUACCCAUGCAUCUUGUGUAAUGUGCAACAUAUACAUGUACAGAUUUAGGUAUUAUCAGCAAAGAUGAACCUUGAUGUUUCACAUGUAAAAUGGUAGCACUUAAGGCCAUGAAAGAACAAACAUUAUCACAAGUGGCUAAAGCACAAUAUGAAGAAAGAACAAUAUAAAUUCAAACCAAAAUCUCAAAACAAAAAAAUUUGCAUACAAGGGAAAUGAUUUUCCUUUUAAGAUAAGCAUAUGCUCUUGCCUUCAAUUUUGCAGCGUUGAGCCAUUGUUCCUCCAAGUAUCAUAGCACUGAUUAUCUCUGCUGCUAUACUCUCAAAAAGAUCAGCACCACGGGCAGCACAGUCACCCACAUUAUCACCAACCUUCAGCAAUUCCAUUUAAGUUAUACAAGAUCUCAAGGAAAAGCAAUCCAAAAACUAACAAGAAAUAACAGAAGAAAAUAAAACCAACAUUAAACAAAAGUACUAGGUUGCUAGUUUAAAACAAAUAAUGAGAAACUCAUAAGACAUUCUAAGCCAGCUAAUAAGAGUGGUAAAAGCCUGCAAACAUAGUAUACUUCAGGCUGAAAGCCAGCCAAUAGAGAAUAUGACCAACAUCAUCCAGUGAAAGCAGAGGGAGAGAUGUUACAAAAAUGUUGUAUUUUUUUAGAUUUAAUAUUCACUUUUUGAAAGAAAACAUCGUUGUUCAUAAAUUGGCUCCCCUGAUGCUUCACGAAUGCUUAUUUGUAGCAUUAGAAUUACCUGCUUAACAAGAGACUAUGUACUAGUUGUACUUUAAUCAUGUACAGUUUGUUCAGUAACUUCUUCUUAACAGGCUUCGGUUUUGGAGGUUUUCCUGACAGCAUAUGAUGGACAGAACAACAUUGUCAAUUUACAGCCACCAGAACAAGCUGACAUGGGUAGACCAACAGAGAUUUACGGCAGAAAGCCAGUUCACUAACGAACAUAAGUAAGGUUUUGAAAACCACUGGAACAGAAUUGUACCACCACUAGGAUUCUAGCACCAAAAGAAGGCCUGGGUCACCAAAACAUAGCAAAAACAGGGCAUCCUGGUUAGGUCAGUACUGGCCGAUACAUGCCAUGGUUGGCCUAAACAAUGCUCAUAGUGGCUAUCCAAGCCGAAAUGGAUCAGUACCGACCAGUACCAAACCCGGUAUUACUGGUUCAAAGGCAUCCUAACCAUUUUAAAGUGAAAAGAGGGGAACGGGGGCCAAUUGGGUAAUCUAAUGCAACUAGAUAUCUUGCAAAAGGCUCCCAAAAUGCUUUUAAACCAUCUGGUGAGAAUGAGAGUGAGAGAGAGGUGAAGCGAGAGAAGGAAAGAAAGAGGGGAAGAAUGGGAGAGGGCCUUUUUGCACUCACCAGGAAGGUUAUGCCAGCGGAUCAACAAAAGAGGGCACUCCAUUUAGGUGAGGCCCUUGGAUCUCUUUUUUUCUUUUUUUUGGGUGGGGGCGGGGGGGAAAGGGCGCGCCCAAAGUUGGCAAAAAUUGGAAAAACAAAGGAAAUCCAUGUCACAUUUUUUUGUUUUACUUGAAAUUUAGAUAUGUUGUAGGUUGGACAGGAGCCUACAGCAUGGUCAGUUUUGCAUAGUGAGUUAUGUUUUCCAACCAAUAUUUUACUUUUAUGGAUUAUAUGUAAUUCUGUAUUGAAACAUUAAUAAAAAUAAAAUAUAUGGGAUUCUAGUCCAAAAAAUUUUAGCAUAUUUGCAUCCGUGCCAUGCACAAGCUAUGAUUUUUAUGGUGGAAUGCCUUUUUUUUUAAAUAUUUAUCAUCAUUUAAUUAUUUUUGUUAUCAAGAAAAUAACUAAAACAAUACCCAAGUUUCUUAAAAAUCUAAACAAUCAUCAGCAUAUGUCCUAAGCAUAGAUAUAAUUUUUUAAACAUCAUUGUAUGCAUUUCAGAAAUUAAUGAUUUUUUAUGAUUUUUAUACCUUUCAAGGGAAAAUAAUUAAAAUUUGAAAAAAGCUUAGUUAAAUAUAGGCUUAAUUACUUUUAAAACCUUGAUCUUUUUGGGUGUUUUCAUUUUUAUCGGGAACUUUGAUUUGUUGCAAUCAGAUUCGCGAACUUUUAUAAUGUUGCAAUUUCUCCUCUGACUGCUACUUUUGUCUAAUGGUCAUGACGGAAAUAAUCACAUACUAUCACAUGAUAUAUAAUAGAAGUUGAUGUGGAAUAGAACAAGCUAAUGUGAAAUCCUAAACUCCCCCUUCCCCCUUUUUCUCCUCUUCUUGCUAGGGUUUAAACUCCUUUCCCUUUUUCCUCCUCUAGCUAGGGUUUCUAUUUCCCAUUUCCCUCCAUUUUCCUCCACUACCUUCUCCAAAACCCCCACCAUCAAUGCUUCUUAUAACACUGCUAGCUCCAUACUCUCCGCCGCGCCAACCAAAACCCUCCGUCAUUCUCCUUCCUCCUCUCUCUCGUCCCUCUCCUCUCACCAACCUUAUACCCUUCCCUUGCCAUCUUCCCCACCCCAUCAACUCUUCCAUGUCAUGAAAACAAGGCCCUAUCCUGUCGAUCAAGAACUCUUAACAAAAGAAAACCUCCAAAGACUUCACAUCUGGGCCAUUCUCUACCAUGCUCUCGAGGUGCUUCAACAUCGUGCCUUCGGGCUCCUCCUUCUGCCACAAUGAUGUCUUAGACUCCAUCAAGUCGUCUUCGCCUCAAAUCCUUGAAAGUUUUGAUGGUGGUCUUUCUUUUUGGAGGGGGGGGAGGAGGUUCAUGAGUGUAGGUGCUUUUUUGUUUUCUUCCUUCAAUUAAUAUUCUCUUUGCUUUUUGGCAAUGAGUGCUAUCAAGGAUUAAUGGAGGGGCUUUCUUGGAAUUGUAAAAGUGAUUCAUUGUCUAUGUUGCGGUUGUUAAUAAGAUCUUUGCAUCUGAAAUUUUUAAGUGAACAAAGGCAUGAAUUUACUUUAAUUUAUUUCAAGACACUUUUGGUUAAUUUGUCCUUUUUUUUGUUUUGAUUCUUUCUUGCAUUUGGAAUGAUUUUCAUUUGGUGCAGAUCAUUUAUCUUGCUACUCCUUUUACUUAAUAAAGGCCAAGAGGUUGGUGGUAUUGGGGCUUGGAGGGGUGAUAAACACAUAAACACAUGAAUUAGGAUGUUAGAAGCAUUGAUUUGUUAUUAAUUGAUCAUUAUUAUUGAGAAUUUGAUGCUUCUUAGUCUAUUUUGCAGAUAAUUAGAGGAUUGGGCUGAUUAAGAUUCAAAUUGGUUCAAAUCCAAAAAAAUACUCAAGAACCAAUGGGCCAAGUGCAACCAGCUCAAAGGAUAAAUCGCGAUCAAUGGUUUAGAAGCAACUCUUCAAGAUCCAACGACCAUCAAAAAAAGAAACCAUUCAUCUAAACCCUAAGAAGAGGGAGAGAUUGACUCAAAUUCUUCCAAAACUCCACGCUACCUCUUCUCAACAAACCCUCAUGCACCUUCUAAAGUCCACACCUCUAAUUAAUUACCAAACUCCAUCUCAUGCACAGCCAAGUCUCCACACUUCACACUUUAUCUCCUUCUUCACGUGCUCCCAAAAUCCAAACCAUAUCCCACCUCCUUCCUCCUUUAAUUAAUGUGGUCCCCACUUCCUCUCUUUGACUUUUCCACGCUCCUAUUCUCUUCACGCGGCCAAGACUCUCCCAGGCUCACAUGUGGCAGGGCCUUUCACAUGGGGUCCACACAAAGGAAGGGGCAGCACACAAGCGGUUCACCUAGCAGUUCUUGCGCACAGAUUACGGGCGAGCAGCUCUCGUGAACAGGUCCUUGCGGCACCAUUUAACUGCACCUGGGAUGCAACCGAACGUGAGAUUUGAGGGAGCACAGGCCAAACCAAAGAAAGAGAGAGAUCGUGAAGGACUCUAAGACCCUACCAUGAUCAGGACUCGAAAGGCACUGAAGGCUAUAAAAAAGGAGUUAUGGUACCAGAGAAAAAGAGAGAAAAAUAAAAAAAAUUAUAAAAAAAAAUGAAUAGAGAAAAAUAAAAAGAGAGAGAGGGGAGAGAUUUGUAGUGGCAUAAGGAGGCUCUGUUGUUCGUCUUCAAGUUCUCCAACAAGAAGUCAUGGCGAGAGGACUCAACACCAUGCGCGGUUAAACUCCUGCAUCUCGAGGACGAGAUGAUUUCUUUUGUAAAGCAGAUGUGUUUUUCCUGAUUCUAUCUUUUAUGUGUUUCUUUUUCAUGCAAAGAAUAAAAGAUUAUUUUCUUUUGCAAUAUGUGCUUGUGCUUUUAUUUUAAUGAUUAGAUCAUUAAUCUAAAUAAUCUAUUUUCUUUAGAGACGCGCUGUAAUUGGUAGGAUACGACGCAUGCUCCAGAAAGAAAUAGGUGGUCUUAGGAUUUGAUCUCUCAUCCUUUCUUUUUAAAACCUCCUGGGAUAAUUUAUACUCAUAAAGGGAUGAGUCGUGAUCUGAAAGAUACGGUCCGCACUCAGAUAGAGAUUGAUUAUACUCAAAGGCCAUUGAUAACAAGCCAUCCUUGCAUGAUUUUAAGUAUUUAAAUCUAUUUUGCAAAAGAAUGAUUCGUAAUCCCUGAGAUUUUUCUUGCUUGAUCACUUUUACCAUUAAUUUAGAAUUUAUUUUUCUAGUUUACUUAGUUUCUAAAGGUUUUUAAACAACUUCAUCACACAUAAAAUUUCGAAUUUUUCUCUCUUGCUUUAAGUUCCAAACACAACCACUUCUGAUCUCUGUGGAUACGAUCCCAAUUCACCCUAUCUACAUAGUAGAGAGUUAGGUUUAUUUUUGACUGCCUACGACAGCGAUCAAGAGGUAAAGAUUCUAGGUGUUUAGAGAGGAGACUAGCACGUGGGCUUGGCAUGGUUGAAAGAAUUUCAUAACUUCAAGGGGCCGUUGUGAGAAAGAGAGAUUUGCUUUUUAUGGCAUAUACUCUAUGAAAAUGGCUUGCUUCUCAAGGGUCAUGGGGGUGGCAGCAGUGGAUUUGGUGCUGGUGGUGGGGGCGGUCUUGGUGGUGGUGAUGGCCAUGACAGAGGCUUUGGAGUUGGUGAUCGUAUAGGUGGAGGUGAUAAGGUUUCAGAGGAGGUAGUGAUGGAGGGAAAAGGAUGAAAUGGGAGGUAGAAAUCCUAACCAGAAUGAGAGGAAGGGAGAAGAAAGAGUUUGUAAAGGUUCCAUAUCAACUAGUUCCAUGCCCCAUCAACUUCCAAUACGUCUCAUGUGAUAGCACAUGACCAUUUCCGUCACGGCCAUUAGACAAAGUAGCAGCCAGGAAAAAAUUGCAACAUUUUAGAUGUUUGAGGACUUGAUUGCAACGAAUCAAAUUUCAAGAUAAAAACGAAAACCCGCAAAAUGUUCAAGAUUUUUGACAUAAUUAAGCAUUAAAAAUAAUAAACAUGGAACAUGCAUCAAUAAUUGACCAGAUCAAUUCUAAAGCUGUCAACUUCUAUUUUAUUAAUCAACAUGUAAUUUUCUGAUUUUCAAGUUAUUUUUAUAGAAAAAUUAAUUAAAAAAAUAAAAAAAUUGAUUUAAUUCUAAAAAAAGCAUGGAAUAUGCAUUUGAUAAUUAAUAAAAAAAAAUUAAACCACUUAUCUUGCAUUUUGUUCAUCAACAAAAAUAAUAAUAUGAUAAAAAUUCAAGCAAAGUGAAAAAUGCAUCAAAAAUAUCUUUCAUGAAUCUUGAUUUAAGUGGAUGAUAUGCACGAAGCAUGAUUUUUUCAAUUAGUAGAUGGAUUCUAAUAAGAAAGGUCAAAAAUAGCCUGAUAUUGGAUGGUGCCAUGGAACGAUGGGCUUGGAGAGACAUCACUGGUUAUACAAUUAUUAUGACAUGGACAACAAAGAAGCUGAAGUCACCUAGUUGAAACAACAUUUGGUUGGUGGCUAUAGUGAUUCACAAAAGUGUACCAAGGUACCUAAACAAGACAGGUAACGAGGGACCACUUGUGGAGUUCAGAAGCAAUGGCAUAGGUAGCUAGAUACAAGCAGGCUCAACAGGACUGCAAGAUAGCCGAGGUCAAUGAUCAGCCAAGUAGGGAUGACAAAUGCAGUGAGUCUAAGCAAUCUGAUCUAGACGAUACAGAGGCUGUUAAGCUACGAGAGGCCAUCUAGGCCUCUAAGUAGGCAAAGCGGGAGUAUUAGGAGGCCAUGAUGCAUCAUGAACAAUUUGGGCCUUCACAUUAUGGAAGGGAUGGUAUUGGGCAUGCAGCCAAGGAAAGCUCCACGCUACAUAAGACCUAAUCAACUAAAGGUGAUGAUGGAGGCAUCAUAUCCCUCUUUAGUGCAUUUCAAAGAGGGAAAUAACACCAGGUCUCAUCCCACCAUUUAUACCAUCAAUAUGACAACUUAGACUCACCAGGAGCAUGUGAUAGCGACCGCCAUAGCCAAGUAGUUCCACUAUGGUCAAAUACUAUAGCAUGGGCUACAGCUCACUACUCCCAAAAUAUGUUUAUUGAAAUAUAGAAGCAGGGUCCUAGCAAUGACCCACCGACUUCAUAUGAGACAAAGGGCCAUACUUCAAGGCACAGGUUGAGGGUCUGAAGUAGUGGAUUGAUGGAUAUAAGUAGCAGUAUCAAUACUGGUGUGAUAGCUAGUCUGGGCCAACUAAGAGCAGUAUCAACUUCCUAGUGUGUUGUCAUAGGCUAAAUUUCUCUUAAAUGUUGACAGAUGAAUCUGACUGGAUAAAUGAUUUUGACAAAAUCCUAGGUCUAAUGAAGGUGAUUAAGGACAUCAGGCCACAGUAUAUCGUCCAAGUAGCGACAGAUCAUGGUCCACAGUACAAGCAGGUAGGUAAGGAUCCCAUGGAAGACAUGCCACAUAAAUAAUGGACAUCAUGUACAGCCCAUUGUAUUGAUUUUGGGCACCUACCAUGGUUGAAGUCAGUUGUUGUGCAAGCAUAGGCUAUUUCAAAGUAUAUAUACAAUUACACAUGGAUCCUUGCACUACCAUGGGCACCUACCAUGGGUGAAGUCAGCUGUUGUGCAAGCACAGGAUAUCUCGAAGUAUAUAUACAGUCACACAUGGAUCCUUGCACUGAUGAGGCAGCAUCUGGAUGAGGAGCUAAUGAAGCCAAGUGUCACACGAUCUACCUAAGACUACAUAGCCUUGAAAAGCCUCCUUGAUAAUCAAGCCAGUCUCAGAGCUAUAUUUACAUGCAAUAAGUGUGUGAAGCGCAAGUAUGGCAAGUCAGCCGAUGGCCAGAGAAUCAAGAGGAUUGUUUCGAGUAUUCUGAGACUGAUGUGCAACUGUAGUUACUGCAAUGGAGCCUUUUGCAUAUGAUGUUGCAAAUGGUUGACUAAGAAGUUUCCACAUAUGGGUUUCUUACCCAAGGAUGAUCGAUGCCAACCAACAGGAUGAGGGAAGGCAUCCUUGCACCUUUGGAUCAUUAAGGAAAGAUAGGAUCUGCAGCAGGGCUGAGAGCAGAGAGUUACACCUAGUAGAUAUAGCAAAAUAAGGAAAAAUAUUCCACAAGAAAUACAGAACUGUCAGAGCAUAUGGAGCUCAACAAUUACUAGGCAGCAAGAUUUGCUAUGCCAAUACUGGAGUCCGGACCGGUCAACCAAUCAUACGGUUCAGUAUGCUUCCAUGCCAUUCUAUACUGGGCCCAAACCGACAUGGAUAGAGAGCAGAGGGAAAACAGUAGCGGAAGAGAGAGAGGGAGGCGGAGAAGGCCUCUAGAGGCCGUCGGAAGACAGUCGGGCUUGCUGCGCUGCUACUAAGCAUGGUGGAAGCCGGGGGAGGGUGGAGGAAGGGAAGGAGAGGAGGGAGAGGCUUCCACCAAGCUCGGCAACAGCGUAGUAAGCUCGACUGCCCUCCAACGGCCUUCGGAGGCCCUUUCUCCCUCUUCUUCUCUUUCCCUCCCCCCUCUCUCUUCCUCUCUUUCCUUCUCCCUCUCCCUCCCCCACCAAUUUUUCGUUUCAAACACCAUAACCGUCCCAUUUGGCUGUCGGUAUAAUUCGGCACACCCCGAACCGGACAAUUUGGCAAACCAUGGUACGCAAGAUGUUUCCAAGUACAUUUAGAAAAUUAUUCUAGUAGGAAGUAAUAACACUUUGUAAUCACUUAUCACCUUAAAUUAUUUGGUUGCAAGAGAGUGGUGGGUAUAGAGGGGCACCAAUGUACCCCAUCUAAGGAAGAUUGCCACCCAAGUCCUCUCGUAGACAAUCUCGUCAACAGGUGCGAACAAAACUGAUCCUUAUUUGCCCUAAUCCACAGCAAGGUGCAAACUAGAUGACAAGCAUGGGGCUGCACAACUGAGUGUUCACUUACUACAAUGAGGUUGGGAUAGAAGUAUAGAGUAAGGGCAAGAAAAAGAGGUAGGAAGAGCAUUGGCAGAUGACUUUGUUUGUGAUGAUGAAGAUCCUAUACCUGGAUGGAAGGCAGAUAAACAAUCUCAAGACAAAUGCUAAAUGAGCCAAGAAUCCUCCACAAACAGACAUAAUCAUCAUGAAGGAGUUGCAGUGUGUGAUGUAGACAGAUAGACAAAGAAGCACAUCUCAUCCACAACAAGUGAGAACAAACAAGAGACUUGAUGGUUGUCUAAGGACUCCAAUUAGCAAUUCAAUCAUGACAUAUUCAGGAUACAACACGAUGCAUAGGCCUCCAAGGCAAAUCAGGACAGUAAGAAUGGUGAGUCGAAGGGAAAAGUGGCAAUCAUUGAUCCAGUUGAGACAAUCAACAACAUACCAAUCCAGAACGAUAACAAUGACACUCCAGUGCCAUCAGAUCACAACUUACCUAGAUCAUCUUGUAAAAAUAAUGACGAUGAUAAUGGUAGAUUGAGUGAUAAGUCAAGAGGCCAAAGAGGGCAAGUUGGGCAUUCUGGACUCUGGAGGAGGUGGUGCUGGGCGCAGUCCAUUCAUGAACAGGGCAAGGUUAUUGCAUUCUGUACAGGAUAGGUACCACAAGGCCCAGAUGAAAACUAGAUCAAGCAAAGGGAAUUCCUACAAGAGGAGAGGAUCCAGUGAUAGUGCAGCACACAAGAUUAGGGUUAUGGGGAUAGUCAUGUAGAGGUUGGAAGCUCAAUAGUGAGAAUCUAUGUUCAAGGAUAGAAGAUGAGCAGUACCAACAGACUCAGGUGUUGUUACAUAGAUUGCAGGGAGUCAACAUUAAUGACACAGCUGCCAGUGCAUCAGAUAGCUACAACAGACGGCAAAUCUCAUUAUGUGCUGGAGAUGGAUAUCCUAGAGCAUUAGAUAGAGUUGACAUUAUGUUCCAUCUAGGAUCUAUUUGGUUUCUUCGAAUAAUCAUAUGAGAUCUAACUCUGCACAUUAUCCCUUCUAUGGAUAUGAGUAUAGCCAAAGAUCAUAGAACAGUGCUACUUCCUACUACCUUAAGCACGGAUGGCUGAGCGCCAUUAAGAACUAGAUGUACAAACAUCCAUUGUUUCAAAUCCAGAAGAAAUGUGUCACGAGAUGCUGAGAUCGGUACCAUACCAAGUAUCAAGAUGAAAUUGUCCUAUUGUUGCCCUGGCAUCCCAAUCAGCACAUCUUGGGACAUAUCUUAUACCCUUAAAAAUUCAUAUAUGAACCACAGGAAAAGAAAUCUACCAUUUUCAGGAGACCCUAGAUGUACAUGGAGGAUGCACAGUAAGGAAAAAGAUGCCUUUACUGGCUUUGCUAGGCUAGUUAUCUGAAGUCAAAAUUAGAAUGAAACUGUGACCCAUCUUUUGAUUGAAAGCCUAGCUCCUUCACACAAUCGAAAACACUAGGGUUGUAAAUGACGUAGCAUUCCUCAUAGAAAAUGAUGACUCCUCUAGCAUGAGCUAUAGACAUUAGGGUCAUAGAUUUUGGACUUCAAUUUACAAACAAAGGAAUAGAGACUUGGCAAAUAAAGCUCUAGGCCAAGGCACAUAGGAUCAAUACUGCCCAUUAAUUGAUUUAAUCCACACCAAUGUUCUAACAUAUCAUUAGACAACAUCAAAUUGAACCACCAUUUUUCCAUAGAGAAGACUUGCCACUAUUUGACAAAAAUACAAUAGAUGACAUGAUGAAUAGUCAUUUUAUUAUUUUAUUUUAUUUUAGGAAUUAAGCAUAUGAAUCCAAUCAUUAGGAUUAUUAACUAAUAAGAUAACAAUAAUAUUGAAAGAAACGAUUUUUCUGGGGGAGGGGGGAUGGCCCUAUCCCACAAGAUUUAAAACCUUGCACAAAUCUACAGCAUUAGGGGCCACAGCCAGGCCAUUAUCGGGCAUCUCAAGAGCAUCAUGGAUUGGUGCAAUACUUAGGCCAGUAUAAUGUUCUAGGUCUGGACUACUAGCAAGAUCUGGAUGUAUAUAAGAUCUAUCGACACUCUACAUAGAUUAGAGUUACAAAGUGACUUAUUAUAACUUUCUUCUUACAAUACCAUAUUAUAUUUACCAUUCUUCACUCAUAAAUGUUGUUAAGUGAUCAUUGAGUGCCAGUACUAACACUCCAUUAUCACAUACUCUUUAAAAACACUCUUUGAACACUGAAAGAUACAAAACAAGGUCACCUAAAUAUUUUUAUCAUGCAAAAAAAUUAAAAAAACAUGAAAAUAAAAUUUAAUUUUUUUAAAAAAAAAGGCCAUCCUGAUGGGGGAUCAGUAGGCCCGUACUGUGUUGACACAGGACAACCCUGGUAUUUAUCAAUUUGGCCAAAAACUGGAACCAUGCUGGUAUCGGUAUUUGAAACAUGGAGCAUAGGCCUUUGUUAUGCAGGAUAAACCAAACAUUGGUUAUUCUUUCCAGCAUGGUAAGAGAUUUACUCAAGGUAUAACCUGCAUAACUGUCAAGGAAGCUAACUAUUCAAAUGACAAAUUCUCUUCAUAUUUAUGAUAAGCAAAAACACCAUACUUUGUUUUCCUUUUUGCAAAAUUCUUGGGUCACUAUUGCCUUUGGUCGUAGCAGGUACUCCAUGUGUUGAAGCAGAAUUAAAUACCCAGGAUAUUUCUUCAGGAUUCAGAAAUGAAACAUUUUAUAUGGUGAAAGCAUUUUUUUUUUCUAAAUCAAAUGCAUAUGGUUAUUGUGUCCUAGAUCCACAAUAGUCUUAUAUUACGUGGUUGAGGGUUGAGGGGUACCCCUAUACGAUCAAGGGAAAACACAUCAGAAAUUUGAAGCUGGUCCGUUUCUGAAAAAAACAUGAAACUAACACCAGAUCUACAAAAAUGAAUAAAAAGGGACCCUUUGCUACAAAAUUUCCUCUACACAGUUGACAAGUUUAGCCUUAUUCUUUUUUCUAAAAACUAAAUAACUUUUCUCCUGUCAUUUUACAUUAGCACCCUCAAAUUAUUCGUAGUAUGAGGCCCAUGGAUUUUCAAUUUCAAGUACAUCAAGCUUAUUUUCAAGGUAUAGCACUAAAUUUGCUAGGAAGGCGCUUUUAGUUUUCAAAUUCCUUCUUGAAGAAACAGGACAAUGAUCUGCUAAAACUCAAAAACAUAAUCCCAUCCUUCAUAAUAUAAAACAAUCAUGGAAAAGAUAGCUGUUGGCAGUUCAUUGACAGAUAUAGGAGAAAAUUUAUUAACAUGGGGCCAGAAGGGAUAAAGAUGGAUUAGAUUUUCCCAGGGAUGUACCCAUCUACAUUUAUAAGAAUCAGCCAUAAGUGUUUUCUUUUCCUAAUUUCCACACUAAUUUGACUAGCAAACCCACAGUUAUAUCUUUUUUUUAUAUUCUAGGACCUGCCAAAGCCUUUGGUUUUGCAGACAUGAUUGUAGUGCCUUUAUUUAUUCUCUCCUCAUCUAAGGCUUUCAUUACCUUUGUUCAUUUGCAAAUGGUGUUCAGCAUGCGAAGCUCAAUUGUUGACAAACUUCCGACAGGCGCAUUAUGCCACCAUUCAGCUAACAAGGUGUUGAAGCUCUCAAAUUGAAUUCAUAUUAUCUCCAUUUUGGGAAGGGGUCAUACACCAUUUGUGGAAGUAUGGGAAUGUAUCUUGUAGUCAUCCUCAUGACACCUCUAUGUAGGAGUGGCAAUUCAUGACUGACAGGUAACCAACCCCAGAUAAACUGGUUCAUAUCUGGCAUAAAUGAGUAUGGAUCAUAAAAGGGUCGAUCUGACUUAACAUUUUCACUAAAUGGGUGUGUUCAGGUUAAAUUCCUGACAUAACCUGUUUCGACCAUUUAAUAAUUGGGUCAGGACACAGUUAUAACCAACCCAUUUAGGACCAGUUUUAACCUGUCUGAACUUUGAACCAUUUAAGACCCAUUUCACCCAUAUAAAGCCCAUUUAACCUAUUAAACCUAAUCCGACAUGUUUAUAAAAAGGGUUAUGCUGGUCAUGGUGGUUCAUUGUUUAAUGAAGAGGUCAGGUUUGAGUUGGACUUUCGAGCUGGUUAAUAAAUUUCUGUUGACAAUUAUAUGACCUGAUGCAUAUCUCGACCCAAGCUCACCCAUUACCACUCCUAUAUGUACAUUAUCCAUCUACAUAAUGACCCCAUAAUCUCUGGAAUAAUUGGUCCCUGGAAGUCCAUGGGUUAUUACAAAAUACUUAAAUAUUAUAUGCACUUACACAUUUAAUAGGCCAAAACUUAAAUCUUAAGCUACAUAUAUGAUUUUUUAUAACUAAGCCAUAAUUAAAGCACUUUAUAUAUUUCUAGAUGCAUGUAUAUGAAAUACCACUAGAGCUGGAACUGGGCUUAGGCCGGCCCGAGGCCCAUCAGGUCGGGCCGACUUCAGGCCGGACUUCGGGCUAGGUCCGCAAUAAUUCUGGCCGGGCUUGGGCCUAAAUAUAGAACCCCUUUAUCUUUCGGACCAGACUCGGGCAUAUCUUUGACCUAGCCCAGGCCCGAGCUUGAAUUCAAGCCCGAUUAAUAGCCCAAACAAUCUAAUUAAUAGCCCGAUCAAGUCCAAUCCUAAGUGGAUUUAAUCUGAUUAAUAACCCAAGCCCGAUCUUGGUUAAUUAGCCAGUUAACUAAUUACUUCCCGAAUAGCCCUAAAAACCCUAUUCCUAUCUCUCAUCAAUUCGCAUGGACCCCUCGACUCCGCCCUCUCCAGCCUCAUCCCCCACCUCUCGACUCCGCCCUCUCCAGCCUCAUCCCCGCCCUCACCCCCUCGACCCUUCUCCGCAUUCUCGGCCUUGUCUGCACCUCCGCCGCCACCCUCUGUCUAUUUCGCUGGGCCCAACCCCUCCUCCCCUCCCUUCUCUCUGACCGUCACCCCGCCGCCAAGACCCUCUACCUCCUCCGCUCCUGCGACCACAUCUCGCCCUCCACUUCACCCUCUCCUCCCUCCCCAACCACUCCCUCAACGCCCUUCUCCACUCCCUCGCCCGUGCCGGCUACCUCCGCUCUGCCAUCUCCCUCUUCCGCCUCCUCCCUUCCCCCUUCGUGUUCUCCCUCGACUCCCUCCUCACCACCCUCCUUCGUCAGCGACACAGUGCUCGUGGGUGGGUGUGAAAUACGACAAUGGAUGCGUUAUCGAGAUCCACUUCCCGCCACAGGUCUUAUGGGCCAGAACUCCACUUGAACCCUCGGCAACCUCACCACCGUCCAGGCAGUCAGCCUCCGCCUUAACGCCCUCUCCGGCCCCUCCUACCAGACCUCGCCAGCUGCAAGGAGCUCCAGACUAUCUACCUCUAGAGGAACUACUCCGACGAGAUCCCUAUCUGCCUGUUCUCCAUCGAAAGCUGGUUCUACUCAAUCUCACCAUCAACAACUUCACUAGCGGGAUCUCACCCGGUUUCAACAACCUCACCCGCCUCGAGACGCUCUACCUCGAGCACAACCUCAUCAUCAUCCUCUAUCGGAAGGGCAGAAGGAGCAAGAGGGCGGCGAAGACGAAGGCACCGAGGAAGUCGACGGAGUCGGAGAUGUUUGCCUGCGGAAAACCUGAUUAGGCUGGCCCAAUCGAAUUCGGGCCCGGGCUCGAGCCUGAGUUUUUCAAAAACAUUUGGGCCUAAAACUGGCUAGAAGCCCGAAAAAAGAUGUCAGGCUGGGCUCGGGCAUGGUUGUGGUCCAACCCAGCCUGGCCCACUUCUAGCCCUAAAUACCACUAAUGUCGAAGGUAAAGCUUGAAUGAAAAAUGUGUGUGCUUAAUGUUAUAUUGAUGGUCAAUUGUAAAAAGCACAGGAGACCAUGAAAUGGAAACAGAAUGUAUCUACGUACGUUUAUAUAUAAAUAUCUACAUAUUACAUAUUUCAAUAUACUCAUUAUAGAAAUAAUAUAACAUCUAACGAUAAUUUGAAAAAGGGCAUGGCUUUUCUUCUCUAAUCUCUAUCCUCCAAUAACAAUUUUGUAUUUUUUAGUUUCAUCUCUUCCAUUCUUUUUGUUUUGUUUUGUUUUGUUUUUCUCCUUUCCCCUCUUCAAACUUUCCUUGCACAUUUCAUUGCUUUUCCUUUCAAUAUUACUUCCUUAUUGACUAUCCUUUCUUUCUUUCUCCCCAUUGAAAUAAAGCUAGCUUCUCUCUCUCCUACGGAUUUUUCUUCUUAGUUUUUUCCUCGUCCAUUCCUCUUACAUUUUCUUCUUCUCUUCCUUUUUUUUCCUUUUCAUUUUCUAUUUACUGCUUCUUUCUCCCAUUUCAUUUACUUGCUUCAAAUCAUGAUUCUGCUCAUUAGUAUAACUCAAAGUAUGUGUAAUUUUCCAUUAGUGAAAUAUGUAUUAUGGAUUUAAUGAUCAUGCUAAAAUGAUAAAAAAAAAAUCUGGAAGCAUCAUUAUUAUCUUAAGCUCCUUUUAUCUCUCGAUGGUCCCUUAGAUGUCUAGGCAAUUCAGUGGUCAUCCAUUGAGCUUUGCCUACAAAAAUCACAACCUUGAAAUGGCAAGACACUGACAAUUCUCCAAUCACUUGAUCAAUAGACAGUUGUAGAUGGAGAAUACAACAUAAUCAGAAGUCAAAUGACUUUCCUCUGUUCUAGGAUAUCAUAUUUUAGCACAUACUCUCAAUAUUCUAAUGACAAGAAAUGGAAGUUGGCAUAACUUCUAAAGUUUUUAUUUGUCAAUUUCAGGUAAAGAAAUGUUGGAGCAUUCAAAAGCAAAUUCAAAUAAAAUUCAAACUUGUGUGAUGUUUUCAAUUAUUGGUCCACUUGCUGGUCUGACCAUUAUAUGAGGCUCUAAUGGUAUUUUUGUUCUCCUUUGUUGGCAAAUUUUUCUUCAUUGUCGAAGUGAUCAAUCUUUUCUUUCUAGCUUUCCGUCAUAAGACAAUGGGCUGGACAAUGGGCUGCAUUGGAUCUAGUCAAAUUUGGUCAGUUUAUAAAACUCUCAGAUCUCAACCCAUACCUAACCCAAUUAUAAUCAAGUCAAAAAAGAAGGAACCCACAUGUGACCCAUUUAUCCUACAUGGAACCAUACCCAACCCCCCAAUUGAAUCAGCACUUCAUUUGUCAAUUAUACAUUCUCAGUAAAUGAAAAAAAAAAAAAGGAUCCAAACUCCGAAGGAAAGGAUUUAGGAUUGUCCAUCCAAAGAAAGUACGAAAGGCUAGAAGAAAUUAAAACGGAGAAAAAAAUGUAAAUUUCCUACCAAGAUUCGCCGUCUCGGUACCCAGCCCCAUAUCGGUGCCAAUCUAUUGCUAAGUUGAUAAAGAGCUGGCUUGACAUACCAAGUGUUGGUACACCCCCCCCCCAUACAGCAUGCUAGUACCAAACUGGUAUGGUGCUGUAUUUUCCAUACCGCCAAUUCAGAACUAUACGGCAAACCUUGGUUCCUUCUAAUAUGAACUAAUAUUUUGAUGAGGUCAUGGCCCAAAACACAAUUAUCAACCCUAGGUGAAUGCAAUGGAUUUUAAGGGAUUGUUCAACCCAUGGUAACAAUCAGGUUAGACAACCAAAAACUUAUACCUAAACCCAUUUAUAAUUAGGUUGGUCUUGGCAAACCAAUACCAUACUACUUUAGAUCGGUUCAAGCAUGUUGGUGGGUUAGGCUCAGAAAUUGCCACCCCUACACUUUUCUUUUGUUGGUGAUAGCAUUCUUUAAGGACUCGUUUGGUCGACAGGAACUGAAGGAGAGAAGAGGCACUUUCUGAGUAGCGGAGAGAGGGUCUCCUGUUUGAUUGGAGUUUUAAGAAGAGAGAAUGAAAAAACUCUUCCCAUAGGAAGUCACUUUCCAUAUUUCAUGAAAAGUGAAAACUCAUGGGGGAGGUGGGUUUUGGCACUUCUUAUGGGAUGAGAAAUGGUAGUACUUUUUCUUUCUUAAAAUAUCCUUUUAAGAUCCACGACUAAGAUUUUGCAAAAUAUCAAUGGAUGGUUACGAUGAAAUACUGAAUAGUGAUAUAAUAUUAUCCUAAUAUUUAUAUGAAUAUAAUAUUAAUAUUAAUAUUAUAAUAUUUAUUGUAUUUUAAUAUUUAUACUAAUAUAAUAUUUUUAUUAAUAUUAAUAUAAUAUUUACAUUAAUAUAUUAAUAUUUAUAUUAAGAUAUUAAUAUUAAUAUUAUAUUUAUAUCUAUAUUAACAAAUUUAUUAUAUUAAAAUAUUAAUAUUAUAUUAACAUAUAUUAGUAUUGUAUUAACACAAUAAAUUAUUAUGGUCUAAUGUCAUAUUAUAAUAUAUUUAUAUUAUAUUUAUAUUAAUAUAUAUAUAAUAUUGAUAUUUAUAUAAAGUUUAAGAGCAAAAGGUAUGGCUUUAUAUCUACUAAAGGUAUAAUAAGUAUUUUGCAUAAUUUUUCUAAGAAAAUAGAUGCUCAACCAAACAUAAGUUACUUUGCAAUUAGUUACUUUCCCAUGAUUAACCAAACAUGCCAAAAUCUUAUUCCCAGAAAAUAACUUCCUAAAAAAUUACUUCCUGAGAAGAAAAGUUCUUCCCAUGAACCAAACGAUUCCUAAAAUUACCUGUAAUGAUUAGAUUUUAUCUUUUUUAAAACAAAAGAAAAUUUGUAUAUCACAUGACACUAUCUUAUAAAAAGAGAUCAGGCGUGUUCACAGAUACAUAAAAAAGAAUCUCCCUAUUUUAUACACCCACCCCCUUUAUAACUCAGUAUACAACCUGCCCAACAUUGUUCUCUUCAUAGAAAUUUUUUGGAUUUCAUUUAUGGGAUCUCAAUUACAUGCAAAAAUAACACAAGAUCACCUUCCCCCUCCAUUCACCCAAGUCUGCUCAUAGUAUUAUUUUUUAAAUCUAUCUCGCCUUUUCUUUGUUGAUGAGAAUGAUUCCUCUUCAAUACAUGGGCCAUGAAUUCUUACUCGGCCUCAUGUUCAUUUGUAUUCCUACUAAAUUUGCAGUAGAUGAAUUUCCAUCUUAUUUAUUUCCAGGGCCCCUUCUCCUAGAGUAUUCAUUAUACUUUCAAUCUAACAAUCACUUUUCCUCAUCAGAAAAUUUGGAUUACUUUAUCAGCAGAUCACCAUAUAGCUUUCCAUUCAGAAAUCAACAAAGAGAUCAAAAGUGUAAUGAAACGCAUCAGCUUUUAAAGUUGCAUUAUUCAGCAGAUCACAUCAGUCCACUAGAAUCCAUUCCCAGUUGUCACUGGUCCCAUAAAGCAUGUCUGGCAAUCUUGAUAUGACCCCCCAAUGCGCUUUAGUUGUUUACUCCUACAAGUUGCUCUCUCAUAUAUUUAUGCAAAUGCUAAAGUCUAGCAGAUGUCGUAAUAAAAACUAAGGGAGCAUUUGGUUCGUAACUGGAAUCAGAAUGGCUUGGAAUCGAAAUCGGAAUGGCCAAAUCCCCCGAAGCAUUUGGUUCGUGACCGGAAUCGAAAUUGGAAUGAAAANNNNNNNNNNNNNNNNNNNNACCCCGAACUCGGAAUCGGAAUGAGAUUCCUCCCAACCAAAUGGUUGGAAUGGGAGUCACCCAUUCUAAUUCCGAUUCCAGACCCCACUCUCUCCAACCAAACACCCCCUAGAUUCAAUAGCCACCACUUAUUGAAAUAAAGCACAUUUGAUAACCACCUUACUUAUACUGACACCUUUCCACAGGUCACUAGUUUCCAUGGUAGUGGCAACCAGUGAUAGAUUAGCAUUACGAACUGCCACAGUGCACUGUCUCAUCCAUUCUGACUACCAGAAGCCAACAUCUCCACAAACCUUUUCUCCAUUCAACACCUAAUUGACCAAAUGGAUAAGACUUAUGUUCCCAUUGACACUGCUCCACAAUGAUCACCAGCUAAUCAUUACCAGUUCCUCAAUCACCUCGUCUGAAUAGCAGAAUGGUGUAUUAUAAUAUAUCUAUAUCUUGCAAGGUUAUUCAAACAUCUAUCAUUUACAGUGCCGGUGAAGUAAUCAAAAGUAAUGCCUAUGGAUCAAUGAAGCAUGCAUAUGUUGAUGUUAACGAAUGGUAAAAAAGGAUCAACAAGACCUACUACACAAAAUUUGACAAGUAUUAUUGGCAAUGAUUAUAAAACUACAACUAAGAGCAUUUUGCACCUGAAUUAGAUAUAUACAACAUUCAAAUGGUAUGGUGUAACAAGAGAGAAGCCUACAACAAUUAAAGUACAGCCUAUUAGAAUUUCAAUUACGAAGGCAUAUUUGAGUGAAUCAAGCUAGCUAAUCUUUAGCUUUACAACCAGCAAUCUAGAGAUCCAUUCCAAGGGGGGAACCCAAGCAAUCCAACUUUAUGUUAUCAAACUAGGCUAAAAGCAAUAAGUGUAUUCUUAAAUAGUGUUAUAUUUGUUUAUAUUUAUGGAUACAACUAUUAAAUUAAGUUCUCAAGAGCAUAUCCAUGCAUUGUGAUGACUGGGUGGUAAUGAAGAUUACAUAAAUUUUGAUGAUUUUGUUAUUUUUCAACUGAAAUAUUGGAUCAAGUACAGGACUGAAAGAAACACAAGCAGCAUUUGGCAGGUAAAAACAUCCACAAGAGCAUUUAUAGGUUAAUUUUAACUUAUGCUAUUUCAUUUUUAUGCUAUUCAAUCAAUGAAUUUUAACUUGAGAGUACAAGGAAACAGUAAGAAGUGGUGCCGGUUGAAGUAAACAAUGAAAUAAUUGAAGCUUCAUACCACCAUGAGUGAAAAUGAGAAUUGCAUUGGCUUCACAUGUUGUCAGAAUUAUAUGAUGCAAAGGCUCAAACCCAUUUAGUGGACUUACCAUUCCUAUAAAUCCUCAGAGAUCAUGUUAAAUUGAGUACUAUCACAAUCCAAACAAGAUAUCAUGAUUAUAAUAGUAACUAUGAUUACCACAAUAGGGUGAUGCAUCACGAAUAACAAAUGACUUGCAAGUGCAGAUAGAUAGGAUGAGUAUGUGAAAAACAUAACUCUUAAGUUCCAAUCAGAAAACAUGAGAGUAAAAUAUAAACAACAAAAAAUUGUCUUCCCAAUGGUCUGUGAACUUUACAUGAAUGGCAAUAAUAACUUGUAUGAUGAGAAGAUGACUUAAUGAUUCGUAAUCAAAGUUAAGAUGAAUUUAAGAUAUUGUGUUAGAAACUGACAUUGAAUCAUGAACUACGAGUUCAAUUAAACUAUCAAAUGCAUCAAGUCCAGCAAGAAACUAGCUGAGCAGAGUAUGCCAUCAAAGCAUGAGAAGUGAGCUUAAAUACCAGGUCUGCAAUCACAGCAGGAUUUCGAGGAUCAUCUUCAGGUAUUCCCUGCUCCACUUUCCCAACAAGAUCAGCUCCAACAUCAGCCGCUUUAGUGUAUAUUCCACCACCCAAUUGGGCGAAAAGGGCAACAAAUGAGGCACCAAAACCAUAUCCAACAAGGAGAAGAGGCACUGCAUACAAGCAAACAGAAUUUAUCACUCAUACCAAGUACAACAAUCAAUUUUGUUCCAAGAUGAAUGGUCAAUCGAAGGAUUCAUUAAAUUUUUUGAUCUCACAAACCAAAAUGGGGUCCAACUUGAGCUUAAAACUCUAAAUCAGUAUUGGCCACAUUAUGUUAUAGAUGAUAUCAUAUUUUCUUCAUACCGAACGUUAAGUUCCAGGCAAAAUAGUCAAACUUCACCAGGAAACUACAUAUAAAACCAAGCAGAUAGUUAUGGGUCAAACUGAUUAUGAAAUACAGGAAUUCUAGUCUCUCUUUACAACUACAUCAUUUAAUAGUAAGUCUUUUAAUUUUAACUUUUGGACAUGUGAAAGUUAAAUCUCACAUCAUGAAUGUGCCAGUUCCUAGUUAAUAUGAGCACAAUAUGUAAUGCUUAUAUAUUGAUUUACAGUCCCAACUCUUAAGGUCUAUUUGUAUGUCCUUGUGAUGGGCUAUAAAUUGCCCUAAAGGAAAUAUUCUUCCAUCCGUAUAAACAUUUCUGAUGUUAUCAACAGGAUUAACUUGCCAUUUUCAUUCCUACAGUUUCCAUAGUUUAACUGGUAACCUGAUCCCACCUCGCAUUCUGCCCCUGCCAGAAACAUCUCUGCUUCUUUUAGAAAUUUAGAUUAAUGGCACAGUUUCCUCUAUUCUGGCACUAUUAUCUGUGAAUCUUUAAAUUUGGGGGAUAAAAGGAAGUGAAAUAGAAUUGUCCUAAAAAUCCAUAGGGUAGGCUCUAGUCAAUAACAACCACGUUCUGAAGCUUGUGAACAAUCAAAAAGAUAUUCAACGCGAUGAACUGCUUGUCCAAAAUGACUAUAGAAUGGUAAAGAAACUUCAAGUGGAUCUUCAAUCCUCAUCUAGAACCUUAGGAAAUUAGGUGGGAUUGAGAAAUGAUUGCACAAAAGGAAAAAAACAACUUAAACAUGUGGCGACAGGCCAAAUUAGGACCUCAUUUUCCUUUUAACAAUAUCUUCUUGAUCCACCUCAAAACAAGAACUUCAGUGUUUCCUCAAUAUGAGGUUUUCCAGAAAGCACUAGAAGUUUGCAAGGCUGCCAAAAUUAAAAUGCACCAAACAGGGGAGUCCGUUGUAACACCAUUUUGUAGAAACUUUAGCAAAUAAAUUUGUUAUACAGCUAGCAAUCUAAUAAUAGCAAGCCUACUUAGCAGACACAAGUUUGAUCUAGACAAACUUAAAUAAAACAAACAGAAUAUGAAGUCUCAAAUUUAAUAGCUAAGUUGAAAGGUUUACUGCAAUCAUCACUAAUUUACUAAGAAAGGAGUUGUGUAAAAGACAACCAGCGAAACAUGUGGAAAUCAGCAUCAUCAACCUUCUGCAAAUGCUCAUGCAAAAUGUAAUUCAGAAUUUAAACAAGACAAGAUGGUUAUCACUCUUAUCAUAAAAAUGACAUGUCCAAAAAUGUAAUCAAAGGUUUUCAACUAAUAAAUUGGUACAUGUCUUAACAUACUCAUCAGCAUGGUGUUACUGGCAUUCUCGUGGAACUUAUUUUGUUACAUAUACCUAAAACACCAAAAUAAGAAAUCUGACUUGAAUGGAUCCUAUAUUAAAAGCUAAAUUGGCUAAAGGAAUGGGGCAUAAUUAGUGUGGAGAACCUGCAAGGCCCAAUGAUCUUUUAUAUAUUUUUCCAGUACAUAAAAUUAUAAAUAGCUUUAUAUUGCCAUGUCAUUAUGUCUUGUAAAAAAACCAAACAGCUUUUUUGUAGAAGACUUACAGUCUGUAACCUUCAUUGAACCAGGUGAAUCAACCCCCAGCCAAACGUAAAAUGCUGCAUAUAAGACUGCCACACCUAUUACAGCCAUGCCAACAACAACAAUGGCUGAGAAACCACCAGCACGUACAGCAAUCUGAUUUCAAAAGCUAAAUAGUUAAGACGGAAAUCCUGUAGUGAUUGAGGAAUAUCUUGCAGCAUGACAAAAUAAUUGGAGAAACCUGCAAUGCCUCCCUUGCAGAACGUCUAGCAGCACUUGAAACUCUAACAUUUGCACGGACUGACACCCACAUCCCAACAUACCCAGCAAUACCUGAACAAAGAGCCCCUAGAAGAAAAGCAGCAACUGUAAUGUAUGCAGAUGUCAACCUAAAAAUGGUAAAAAAUGGUCAGCGGAUUAGAAGGCAAUAAAGAAAAUAUAUAGAGACAUCACACAUGCAAGCCCACAGCCACACAAGGGGGUGGGGUUGGUUGGGGGGAGAGCACACAACACCUUCCUAGGCCAGAUGACUCUUGUUGUGGAGUAGUAGUACGAAAUAGAUAUAUGCUGAGGAUCACAAGGGCUAGUAAAAUUGCCAUCUUGGAAAUGGUUCCAUACUGUGUCCUAAAAAAACCUUCAGCCCCAUCUCGUAUAGCAUCUGAUAUCUAAAGAAACAAUCGACAGGUCAAAAGUACUAUACCAUAAAUUUGAUAAGAUAUCAUUCAGAAAGCCUAUAAGAAAUAAUAAAGUAACACAACAAAAACACCCUUAUGUGGAACAUUAAAUACAAAUCAUGAAGGAAAUCUAUCACUUGGAUAAAGACUUGAAAAUCAGUUUAACAAAACUGAGCAUAUUAUACGCAAUUUCAAUGGAAAUGAAAAUGAAAAUCAAGGUCCCAGUCAAAACUGAAAAACAAGGUACUGCAUUCAAUCAGCCUGUUAUCUAGAUCUAUAUAUAAAAUAAUGGUGAAACAGAUGAUAACAUUUCCGAUAGAAAUAAAUAGAUUACGUGGUGAUUUCUGGAUGUUACGUCACCAGCAAGUUCCUCGGUUAUAUGCAUGAAGCUUUUUAUAAAACAAAAAUACAGCUCGCAGCAUUGAAUAGUUCAUAACCUUGGGAAAUGAAGGUCCAAGCAAACAAGAUCAAUGUGGCAGAUAUGAGAGUAUUGAUAUAGAUGUGCAAUAAAAUUAGGAAAGUUGGAAUAAUGCAUUGAGAUGUAUUAGCAGAGGCAUAAAAAAGUCACAUCAUUAAGGACAAAGUAAUGGAUAAUUAAGAUGGUAUGGGCGAUUGCAACAAAGACAAAAGGAGGCUUCUCGGUCUAGAAUGAGAAGAACUAUAAUAACAUGGAUUGAAUUCUUGUGAAAGAUUUGCAAAAGCUCACAACAAUAUUAAAGGUAACACUUAUUAUGAAAGGAUGAUAAAUGAGAAUUCAUAAAGCCAACUCUCAAUCGUGGGCAGGACACUUGGUGAUGAUUCUGGUUACAGAUUUUACUUCUGCCAAUUUAUGUCCAAAAAAAAUAAGCUGAAAGCAAAAAAGCUAACCUAGGACAACUGCUCAAGUUAAACAUAGCAUAGAACUACAUAAAACUCAAAUAACAAUUAGCAUAUUGCACCGCAGUGGACAUAAGCAUGUCCUGAUAAAAGUUUUAAACAUUUGUUAGUUAUUAGAGAUGAGAGUAAGGAAAACAAAUAGAAGAUAAAGUCAAGCAAACUAGAUGGGCAUACAGUCAGAAAAAGGGCAAAAAAACUGCCAAACUAAAUUAAUAAUGAUAAAAAGUUGCAAAAUGCCACAAAGACCAGAAUAAUGAUGCACUUAUAUGUCUCAUCUUAUCUUGUUUAUUCACAGAUGUACUGUACAACAUAGUGAACAUGCAGAAUAUGGUAAAUUCAAGUAGGAGUAUUAAUAUAACAGGCAGAAAACAGACAGAAUGCUUCAUCCAGUAUAGAAAUCUCCAGAAUGUUGUACACCAAGGGGCUACAACCAAAACAUUAGGCACAUACUGAUGCUCAAUCAGUUUUUGAGAUAAUCUGCUAUAUGGAAAUGAAAAUUCAGAACUAUACUAUGCGGAAAAGAUAAUAAAUUGUAAUAUAUAGGUGGAUACAAUAAAUUUUCGAGCGAGCCAGGUGAUAUGCAUGUAUUAGCAAAGGCAACAACUCUAGUGCCUAGAUUGUUUCACCAAUACGUCUGGGAAAACCCCUACUCAGCAUGUAUAUCUUGUUUAUAGCUUUUCCUUUUCUUUGAAGCAUCAUGUUAACCGGAAAAACUGGAAAAUUUAGAACCUGGUUCAGAAUAUCGAAUCUUAUUUUAUUUUCGAACAUGUCAAAUGGUUUUGUUUCAGCAAGCUGGUAGUUUUGCCUGCACCUAAUACUUAGAAGAGGACACAAGUACAACCAUAGAAUGUCGAACCACCCCAAACCAAGCGGUUUAAGGCAUGCCGAACCAUACCAACAGCCAACUGAUGCAGUUUUGGCGUUCGGUUCAGAAUGCUAGCGAAAACCAAGCGAGGGAGAAGGAAAGAGAAGAAGAGAGAGAAGAGAAGAGAGAAAGAGAUGGAAGGGCCGAUAAUAGCCCGCCGAAGCCUCCUGCUCUCCAUGGUCCUCUGCAAGAAAGAUUAGAGAGAGAGAGGGGAAGGCAACAAGGAGGCCGUCGAGUGGCCGCCGAACUGUGGAAAUCUACCCGCAUUAUCCAUGGUUUCGAAAUAGGGACGGAUCGCCCCUGUUUCAUCAUAUAUGUUUUUUGAAACCCAAUUCACAGUGAAGCAGGGGUGGAUUGCCCCUCUUCACUAUGAAUCGGGUUUUAAAAAAUAUAUGAUGAAACAGGGGCGGGUUGCCCCUGUUUCAAAACCACGGAUGCCACGGGUGGAUUUCCACCAUCCGACAACCACAGCGGCCACCCGAUGGCCCUCUGGCAGCCUCCCGCCGCCUUCCCCUCUCUCCCUUCCUCUCCCUCCCCAUCUCUCUCACGAAGGACCGUGGAGCCUCAAAGGACUUGGUGGACCUCCAAUUGCCACCAUCGGCAUCUCCACUAGCCUCCCUUUUCUUCCCUCCCUCCCCCCUCCUCCUCUCCUCUCUNNNNNNNNNNNNNNNNNNNNCUUCCUCCCUCCCCCUCCCUCCUCUCUCUCUCUCUUCCUCCCCAAUCCUCCCUCAUUUCUAUGUCGAUACGGGUCCGGUACAGGCGCACACCUACUCAUACCGCCAAUCGGCCGUACAGGGUCCAGUUUUGAGUUGGCAAACCUUGCGUACGACACUUAGAGACAGCUUUGUAAGAAUAAAUUUUAGAUGUUGGAAGAAUCUGAAACUUGGAUACAUACCAACACCUGAUACAUGAACCGAAGUUCAUGUAGUAUAGGUUUUACCUGCCAACCUGGGCAGGAGUAAAAAAAAAACCUAAACUUCUGCAAACAUUUUUGAAGCCACUAUUUCAAUGCCUCCAAAUCUCCCCAAACUUGCAUAAAUACAGUUUAGUCUUAUAAAAGUACAUAUCAGAAUCCAAAAAAAAUUGAAGAAAUGGCACAAAAGUAACACAAAUUGUCCCAUAUAAUAACUAAAUUGAGUGUCAUAAGCUAGUGUGAACCAACACUCUAAAACCAGCCUCAUUUUCGAUAGUUACCAAAAGCAGGAUCAUGCAUUGAACGGAUCUGGGUAAACGUGCGGGAAAGGAAACCUCUCAUGCUUGGCAGCGGGUGCAUUCCAAGCACUUAAACAGUGCUAUAAAUAAUUCCAUGGAGAAUUAUGUAUGAUACCUUCCAUUACAUGUUUCUAAACCAGCUUCCUAUAAACUAAAUACAUACUUAUGGCAUAAGUCCCUCUAUAUACAUAUACAAAUUAAUGAACUAAUACAUAUUUUCUCCCUAAGAACUUCCAAGGCUGCCAAAGAAUUUCAGUUAGAACUCUAACAAGGUCAUCAACGGUGUUUUAAAAUACAGUGCAUGAGGCUGCACAUGCAUAUGCAGAUGCCUGACCACACCGCAUAACCUAUAUGAAAUUACUAUAUGCAAUUGGGCCACAAACGGGUAGAAAAGACACAUAAACAGCCUAAUAUUAUGUUAGCAUUCUGCGGAUACAUAUGCAAUAGGAUUUUGUAUUGCACCAUGGCAUAAACAGCCUAAUAUCAUUGUCUGACCACAUAUGUAGGCCUUUUAGCAUUGUGCAACCACAUAAUCUGGCCACUCUUAUGUGGGCCUGUGUGAACAGGACAUGUUUAAGCUAACGGUUAUGUUGGAUGUGGGUUUUCAAACAGGCCAGAUAUGUUAAUUAUAUUAUCCUCAUUACCACUAAGAAUGAAGUAGCAUGUAGUAAACAAUGACUGCUAAAUGUUAUUCUUAUCAAAUUUGCUAUGAUUAUUUUAAAUAAACAUAAUUUUAUUAUAAAUAUUUAAAAUACUAACUGCAUAUGAACCCAUCAAUCCAAUAGCAUAAUACAUGUGUUACGCAGUCUCUUGACCACCUGCAUGUCACACUCGUCCUAUAAAAUACUGGACACUACCAAGGAUCAUCGGGGCAGUUCAAUCAUCGGGGCAGUUCGAUGAUACAAAGCCUCUAUGUUGGCAUUUUGGGUACAAAAAGAAUCAACAAUGUCACAAAGUGACAAAGUAUGUAUGUGUGUGUGUGUGCGCGCGCGCACAUGCGCGUCUAUAUAUAUCUAUAUAUAUGUAUGUAUAUAUAUGUGUGUGUGUGUGUGUGUGUCUAUAUAUAUCUAUAUAUAUGUAUGUAUACAUAUANNNNNNNNNNNNNNNNNNNNNNNNNNNNNNNNNNNNNNNNNNNNNNNNNNNNNNNNNNNNNNNNNNNNNNNNNNNNNNNNNNNNNNNNNNNNNNNNNNNNNNNNNNNNNNNNNNNNNNNNNNNNNNNNNNNNNNNNNNNNNNNNNNNNNNNNNNNNNNNNNNNNNNNNNNNNNNNNNNNNNNNNNNNNNNNNNNNNNNNNNNNNNNNNNNNNNNNNNNNNNNNNNNNNNNNNNNNNNNNNNNNNNNNNNNNNNNNNNNNNNNNNNNNNNNNNNNNNNNNNNNNNNNNNNNNNNNNNNNNNNNNNNNNNNNNNNNNNNNNNNNNNNNNNNNNNNNNNNNNNNNNNNNNNNNNNNNNNNNNNNNNNNNNNNNNNNNNNNNNNNNNNNNNNNNNNNNNNNNNNNNNNNNNNNNNNNNNNNNNNNNNNNNNNNNNNNNNNNNNNNNNNNNNNNNNNNNNNNNNNNNNNNNNNNNNNNNNNNNNNNNNNNNNNNNNNNNNNNNNNNNNNNNNNNNNNNNNNNNNNNNNNNNNNNNNNNNNNNNNNNNNNNNNNNNNNNNNNNNNNNNNNNNNNNNNNNNNNNNNNNNNNNNNNNNNNNNNNNNNNNNNNNNNNNNNNNNNNNNNNNNNNNNNNNNNNNNNNNNNNNNNNNNNNNNNNNNNNNNNNNNNNNNNNNNNNNNNNNNNNNNNNNNNNNNNNNNNNNNNNNNNNNNNNNNNNNNNNNNNNNNNNNNNNNNNNNNNNNNNNNNNNNNNNNNNNNNNNNNNNNNNNNNNNNNNNNNNNNNNNNNNNNNNNNNNNNNNNNNNNNNNNNNNNNNNNNNNNNNNNNNNNNNNNNNNNNNNNNNNNNNNNNNNNNNNNNNNNNNNNNNNNNNNNNNNNNNNNNNNNNNNNNNNNNNNNNNNNNNNNNNNNNNNNNNNNNNNNNNNNNNNNNNNNNNNNNNNNNNNNNNNNNNNNNNNNNNNNNNNNNNNNNNNNNNNNNNNNNNNNNNNNNNNNNNNNNNNNNNNNNNNNNNNNNNNNNNNNNNNNNNNNNNNNNNNNNNNNNNNNNNNNNNNNNNNNNNNNNNNNNNNNNNNNNNNNNNNNNNNNNNNNNNNNNNNNNNNNNNNNNNNNNNNNNNNNNNNNNNNNNNNNNNNNNNNNNNNNNNNNNNNNNNNNNNNNNNNNNNNNNNNNNNNNNNNNNNNNNNNNNNNNNNNNNNNNNNNNNNNNNNNNNNNNNNNNNNNNNNNNNNNNNNNNNNNNNNNNNNNNNNNNNNNNNNNNNNNNNNNNNNNNNNNNNNNNNNNNNNNNNNNNNNNNNNNNNNNNNNNNNNNNNNNNNNNNNNNNNNNNNNNNNNNNNNNNNNNNNNNNNNNNNNNNNNNNNNNNNNNNNNNNNNNNNNNNNNNNNNNNNNNNNNNNNNNNNNNNNNNNNNNNNNNNNNNNNNNNNNNNNNNNAUUCAUCAAGGUACAAGAGAAGAUCCUAAGGAUUUUAUCAAAUGGAGAUGCGAAAAACAAACAAAGUUCCCCUUCAAUGCGAUAGGAGCUGUAUUAUCCAAACUCUUUGGUUUUUCCACAGAAGUACCUAAGCUGAAGCAACAUAAGUAUGGGUGCAUACCUAAUCAUGGUUCUAAAGAAGAGAUCAUUAGGGGUUAAAAGGAUCCAACACAAACAUACACAGGUAUCUGGGACACAUGACCAAGUCCAUGUAACAAAGACUAAAAGUGAGACCUGUUUGGUUCGCUUAGGGAUAACAUAGGUAAUGGGCGUCAGGAUGAAUAUCUUAGUGGUUAAACAGCUGGCCUUGAAAAUCAAGGUUUCUAUUCUACCAUCUCUACAGGACAUGUUCAUGAAUUUGUACAUCAAUAGUUACCACCUACUCAUUAAAACAGCCCGCAUAUGUUUUCGAAAUUACAAAACUGCCAUUGCUUGGCCCAAAAAGCAUUUGCAUAUUACUCCUUUCAAAAAAUUCAAUAUAUAUAAAUAAAUGUUUUCAUAUCUCAAUAGCAACAUAUGACCAACCAUAUGAGUCAUCCUGAAAGCUAGUCGAUAGGAAGACCAGCAACUCAUAGAGAAGGAACAUAAUCAUUUCCUUUCCAAGAAACAAAAUUUAUGUAUUCUGGGUUCUAGCACUAUAAGCCCUUAACCAGCAAAGAUGAUCGAAUAGCAUAACUAGAGGAGGAACCAAGAAAAGACAAAGCAAGUGAAGUUCUCCCUUCACCUGACCAGUUAUCUGAGUUAAAGAAACAGUGGCUUUGAAUAAGAUGAAGAUGCCCUCGAUGGAAUCUCAAUCUCAAGAACCUCAACUUUCUUAUUACAGUUCUCGGAGUUCAUGACAAAGCCGUAUAAGAUAAUGCAAAAACAUAAAGGUUUGCCACACUUAUAAGAGCUUCCAUAUGCCAUGAUAACAUUACUUCAGUUUCUUUUGGACUUCAAACCUAGAAGAGAAAAACUAGAAAAUAGCAAAAGAGUUUUGGUGUUUGAGCACUCAUAUCAGAUAGACUCCUAUGGAAAGACAUAAGAUUAUAUGAAAAGACAGUGGUUCCUUCGCACCUUCAUCAAUAUCCUUAUUGCAUAAUUGACAACAACUCUACCGCAAGCCUCUAACAUUUUUUUUGGGGAUAAUGCAGCAUUUCCAAUAAGGAAAAUGUGAUGACAUGAGCUCAUUCGCAUACAAAGAAAAUCUACUCUAGAGAGUAAGAAUUGUUAUACAAAACAUAGAAAAUUAAAUUGCUUCACCAAUUUAAAUGUUAAACUAGUGAACUGACAUGCUUUUUUCUUCUUGAAUUAAUGAUAUUCAGAUGGCAUUCUGCUGAAGCCAAUCAACCUUGACAGCCAACAGAAGAAAAAAAUCUCUCUAAUCUCUAAGAAUUCUGAGGGAUCAACAACAACCUAAAUUUAUAAUCAUGAGUUUCUGGACACAGUAGUAAACAUGAUCAGGAAUUCAGGAUGCGGGAAAAUUAUGAAAAAAAGGAUACAUACUAACCAAACCAAGGACUUUGUUUGUGUAUGAAGAAUUAUUCACAAAGCCUCCAUCACAGUGCAUUGGCAUUGAUUACAACAAAAUACUUAUGUUGUAAAGUACUGCACCCAUUGAAAUUACCUAAAAUUGAUUUAUUACUCAUGCAUAAUAACAAAUCUCUAGAGAAAAUGUACUUCUAAAGCAUAAUAGUCACUGAUAUAAUCAGCAAACCUUAUCCUAGUGUAUAACUAACUAAGACAUAUAUGUACAAGAUAAAACCAACGUAACCUUAAAAAUAAGAGUAUUCCAACCUUUUCUUCUUUGAAGCAAGCAAAAUAGAAAAUAUAACAAAAAGAAUAAUCACAAAAUUCAAGUGGUCUUAGCCUGUGCACAAAGAAAAGACUGCAGGAAAUUCACCAAUAGCAGGGGUUACCAAAAAUUUAGAUCAUAUACACCAAGGUCUGCAGUAUUGGAACCAGCAUCCAUGCUAGUAGGUGGGCAAUAUGAUACAGUAUGGUACCAUGCCAUGCUGUUCCAGAGCGAACUCACAAAAGGAAACUGGCAAGGGAUAGGAAGAGGGGCCAGAGAGAGAGAAGAAAGGAGGGAGAGAGCAGGAGAGGGUGGCAGAGAGAGAGAGAGGCAGAUGAAAGGGGAGAGAGAGAAGGAGAGGAAAAGAGGGAAGGAGGGAGGGAGAGGAAGAUGGUGGCGGAAAGCGAGAGAGGUGGAAGGAGGAUCAGAGAGAGGGCUCUAUCCUCCGUGGUGCUUUUGAAAGCCCUCUCUCCGGCCCUCCGCCUGCCUUUCUCCCUCUCCGCCGCCAUCUUCCUCCCUCAUCCUCUCCCUCCCUCCCUCCCUCUCUCUUCCUCUCCUUCCUUCUCCCUCUCCCCCUACCUCACCAAUUGCUCGUUGUGAAGGCUGGAACCAUCCCGGUCCGCCUCCGAUACGACUUAGUACACCCCAAACCAAGAUAGUACCAUCGACCUUAUUAUAGACCAUCUCCUAGAGAAUCAAGACCAUGCUUGUUGCAUAAGCCAUCAUUCCAAAGCUCAACUGAUUUAUCAAUUGAUGAAAAAGCAAAUGAUAUAUUAUAUUAUUAUGCAUGCAAAAGUUGGCAAAGACAGGAUAUAAGAUGUAAAAAAGUGUGCAUAUGGUGCUUUGACCAAGCUUUCAACAACUAUGAUGAUUAUAAAUUCACUUUCGCACCAUGAUAAGGUAAAAAGGAAUUGUCAACAAUAUAGGGAAGAAUGUCUUCUUCAAAGAGCUAAUUAGAAAAACAAGCCCUAUAGAAUAAAGUUAUUAAAAGUGAUUGUUGAACCUAUAUUCCAUUAGACCACAAAGAGUAAGGAUAAAAAGGCUUUAGACCAAUAGUUUUUAACAGCUUGGGUAACUAUGUGAUAAAAGUGAUUAAUUGAAUGACAUGGGAUGCAAUGAUGUGUAAUUUGGACCAACAAAGACAAUAAAGUUAGACAUGGCACAGGCAUUUAGCAGAGCAUGAAGCUGAAAGUGCAGUGCAGAGUCAGAAAGAUGAAAAAAUAAGGAUAAUACGGUACCUGAGCCAUUUCAGGAGGCCCCUCAUCCUUCGCAAGAACCCACUUUGCGAGGUAGAUGGAAAAGAAGAAGCUGAUGAUACAGAUAGAAAGCACAAAGACAACAAUUGGUGAACUACGGGCUCCAAUGUAAAAUACAGCUCCCAGUGCCAAGAGCAAUAGAACAAAUACGAUACGGGGAUUAAUUCCCA